CUAUUGAUGAUAGGUACCUUGAUCAAGCGGGGGAUGUUAUUUGGAUGGCACCAUUUUUAUCAGUGAUAUGCAGCACUUGGGAAAACUCGGUCCCGGUAUUUGCUAUACAAGGACGUGAACAGGAAUCCACCGUAAAGUCUUGUAAUCA